rnacentral:rRNA from 1 species
UACGUAGGGGGCGAGCGUUGUCCGGAUUUAUUGGGCGUAAAGAGCGUGUAGGCGGCCAGGUAGGUCUGCUGUGAAAACUCGAGGCUCAACCUCGAGACGUCGGCGGAAACCAUCUGGCUAGAGUCCGGAAGAGGAGAGUGGAAUUCCUGGUGUAGCGGUGAAAUGCGCAGAUAUCAGGAGGAACACCAGCGGCGAAGGCGGCGCUCGUGGGCCGGUACUGACGCUGAGGAGCGAAAGCGUGGGGAGCAAACAGG